GAUGAAGAACGCAGCGAAAUGCGAUAAGUAAUGUGAAUUGCAGAAUUCAGUGAAUCAUCGAAUCUUUGAACGCACCUUGCGCUCCUUGGUAUUCCGAGGAGCAUGCCUGUUUGAGUGUCAUUAAUAUAUCAACCUUCUCUUUUUUGAGUUGUUUGGAUGUGGGGGUUUGCUGGCCUCUUAAAUGAUUCAGCUCCCCUGAAAUGCAUUAGCAGAACAACCUGUUCAUUAGCGUGGUAAUUAUCUAUGCUAUUGAAUGUGAGGGCAGUUCAGCUUUCUAACCGUCCUUGGACAAUUCAUCAUUAAUGUGACCUCAAAUCAGGUAGGACUACCCGCUGAACUUAAGCAUAUCAAUAAGCGGAGGA
rnacentral:misc_RNA from 1 species